rnacentral:rRNA from 1 species
GACGAACCGUGCUAACGUUGUUCGGAAUCACUGGGCUUAAAGGGCGCGUAGGCGGUCUGCCAAGUCAGGGGUGAAAUCUUUCGGCUUAACCGGAAAAGUGCCUUUGAUACUGGCGGACUUGAGGGAGGUAGGGGCAGAUGGAACUGGUGGUGGAGCGGUGAAAUGUGUUGAUAUCAUCAGGACCUCCGGUGGCGAAAGCGGCGUGCUGGACCUUUACUGACGCUGAUGCGCGAAAGCCAGGGGAGCGAACGGG